GCAAACUCUUUCUGUGCUACUAGAUGUGAUACAUACUGAAUCUGAGCAGCGGCAGCAGCAGCAGAAGGGAGGAGGACACACUAAAAAGCUAUACCCCAGAUGAAAGCUGCAUACCUUUCAUGAAGGGCUCUUCAGGGGUUCCUUAAAGAGUGAAUGUACCUGGGAGAAGUCCCCUUCAUGGUCACUGGGACUUGUGCUGCCUCCAUCUCUGUCAUCCACACGAGCACAGAGAGACAGAGGGAGCUGCAGGGAUGAGCCAACCAAGGAGUGAAGCUGGCAGAACAGCUGCAGCCACUGUUCAAGUGGGAACUGAUGGAUAUUGAUAACAUUGUCUGAAUACCUCUGCAGUUUUCACAGUGGACCCUCUAUCCCCUUCACUCAUUGGCUGUUUUCUCCAAUUGCUUCUAUCUCUGCUUUUCCAUUUUUCCAUUUACCUCCUAACAUAACCCCCCUGGAUAGAUUUAAAAAACAAUAACACAAAGCUUAUAAAACUCCAGCAGUUCCUGGAUGUAUGUUAUACCCUUCCCUCCCUUUCUCUCUUGUCUAUUUAAGAUCUGUACAGCAGUCUAUUUCUUAACUGUGUUUUUCCUGAAACUAGCCUCAGAGGGAAAGUCUGCGUUUACCUGAGCUGCAGUGUCCCCCAAGCACUCCGAAGUCUCUGAAGUCGUGUCUAACAAGCUAUCAUGAACUAUUAAAAAUGGGGUGGAGUGUUUCCAUUUUAAUCUGAUAACAUUACCAUCACAGAAAAAAAGAAAAAUUACUUGUAAGCUAAACAGCUUUGUAAAGUUUAAUUGCAACGAAGAGACAGAGAAACUGGAACUAUAGAUUUCAGAGGUAAGCCAAGCAGGGAAGACCUGGGACUGAUUUGGGUCCAUAGCAUCUUGCAUAUCCUGCUGACAAAUGCCUGGUCCUGCAAGGAGCCAUAUACAACACCCUCGUUACCACCACACUCCAGAGGUCUCAGACUCUGAGCCAAGGGUAAAUACGUGCAUCAAUAAAAGGCAAAACAACACUCUUUUGCAUUUUUAACAAUGAAUCUAUUUGAAAGCCUUUCAAAGAUCAGGUUUUAACUUACUAAAUCAACUUAAUCCUAUUAAAACGAAAUUCAGAGACACAGAAAUAUCUACUGCAUAUACUAGCAAGAAAAAUAUUUUUUUCUCUUACAUGUAUUUUGAAGUUAAAAUUAUCUCUAUGAAACACACAGCUUGGCAUAUUCUGGAUUAAAGGAACUCUGUGUAUUCAGGGAGAUAUAAAUUAAAAAAAAAAAUGCAUUUCCAUAAACUACUAGCUCAUAUUUAGCUCCAGGUUUCAUUCUCAGAAGUGCUGAAGUUGUUGAGCAGUGAGUUGCUGAAGUUGUUGAGCAGUGAGUUACUGACACAAUAUUUCAGUGCAAAAACUCCAGUUGGGCCAUUUUGCAGGUGUUGAAGCAAAAAGCCAGGAAGAGCUGGGGCAUUGUUACAAUCAUAUCUCUCUAUUGUUUUGCAGCUUUUCUUUAUCUUCUUUUCUGCCAGGAAAGACUGUCCAGGAUUACUGAGUUUAGUACAAAACUUAACACACUGCUCACAUUCACACUAGCAUCUGUCAAAACACAGGAUAAAGAGACAGCUGGUUCAGACUGCCACACUAUUGUAUAGAAGUGCUCAGCAGAUAUUUACAAGAUCUCCUUAGCAUCCCUUUAAUUUGAAGGUAUCAGCUCCAACUGGACUCGGAAACACGAUUCUAAUUUUGCAACAUGCAGAGAAGGAAUCUUUUUAAGGAUAUAAAUGGAGUCACUUAACACAUCCACCACUUGUAGCACUCCUGUGCUGGACAUGACUGUCCCCAUAGCAGACAAUUACAUACAACCACUCCUUAAUUUGUCACAGUACAAAACAAACAACUUCUGUCCAAGAUCUUGAUGCCUCAUGGACAGAGAAAGCUAAAAAUGAGUUUGACUUUGCAGGAUACAGAUGAGGAGAACAGGGGCAGCAAACAUAUCAGAGGCAGCAAAAGCUUAUUUAUAAGUUAAGAUCGUAUUUACCAAUUGAUUUAUGAAUAGCCAAAGUUAUAAAACAAAUGUGUUAUUUGGAUGGUCUCUGUACAUUUUCUCUGACAUCAGCCUUAUGGGACAACUUUCCUGAAAGGGCAAAAAAGCCCUGGGUAUAACUGAGAUU